rnacentral:rRNA from 1 species
GACGUAGGAUGCAAGCGUUGUCCGGAAUUAUUGGGCGUAAAGAGUUCGUAGGCGGUUAUCUAAGUCUGGUGUUAAAGCCCGAAGCUCAACUUCGGCAUGGCAUUGGAAACUGGAUGGCUAGAGUGUGGUAGAGGUAUCGGGAAUUCCUGGUGUAGCGGUGAAAUGCGUAGAUAUCAGGAGGAACACCGGUGGCGAAAGCGCGAUACUGGGCCAUAACUGACGCUGAGGAACGAAAGCCAGGGGAGCGAAAGGG